UUAUAGACCAUGUCCCCUUGCCUGCAGGCUCUGUCCCCAGACGCAGAAAACUCCCCUUCGUUACUAGGUUAUGCCUACAGAGGCAGGAAACGCCCUUUGAGGCAAGAGAUGCCCCCAGAGGCAUGAAGCGCUCCCAGAGGCAAGAAAUGCCCUUUUGCCUGCUAGGCCUUGCCCUUUGAGGCAAGAAACAUUCCCCUUGGCAUCACACUGGUUAUUGCUGCUCGCCUAUUUUGUUUUCCAUGUCUUAUGCCAGUUCUUUUGAAAACGCCUGUACGAUAUAGGUUUCUGUUCACCCCGCACUCCUGAUACUAUGGCAAAUAGUUAAAAAGAAAGGGGGAGAUGUUGGUAUGCCUGUAUAGGGAUUGGUUUGAUCCCAUUCAAAGUGGUCUAUUUACAUGGUUUGAUCCCAUUCAAAGCGGUCUAUUUACAUAAAUCACUUUUACAUUUA